rnacentral:rRNA from 1 species
AAGGGCACCACAAGAACGCGUGGAGCAUGUGGCUUAAUUUGACUCAACGCGGGAAAUCUUACCGGGUCCGGACAUACUGAGGAUUGACAGGUGCAAAAAUGUAUUAUAAUUUAUAAUUUUAUUAUUAUAUUUUAUUAAUACGUUAUCAAAUAUGCUAGUCCUUUCAUGAUUGUGUGAUAGGUGGUGCAUGGCCGUUCUUAGUUCGUGGAGUGAUCUGUCUGCUUAAUUGCGUUUCAUAAUAGCUCCAAAUAGACUUUUCUAUUGAUAUCAGCCUUAUCACUUUUGAAUUUAUAAUAUAUAUUUAAUCAUAAUUUUAUUAUUAUGUGCCAAUAUUAUUUUAUUUUUUUUUAAAGGUAAGGAUUUGAUUCAAAGUAAAACGUGGAGCCUGAAGGCAACGAACGUGACCGCAACCUCUUGUUGCCUCAUUCUUAAUAUGAAUAUUAAUAUUUAAAAUGAUUUUAUUAUUGUUUUAUUUAUUCUUAUUUAUAUGUGUUAUGUAUUUGAUUGUAUGUGAAUGUAUGUUACAUGUAUUUAAUCUGAUGCAUUCAUUGUGGUUAUAUAUAUAUAUGUAUUUAUACAUGAAUUUAUUCGUGUAUUUUAUAUAUAUAUGUGAUUAUAGUGAGUGUUUUGGUUUUAUACGUGUGGUGUAUUUUAUUUAUAUAUUUUAAUCAUUUUAUAUAAAUUGAGGCUAACUAGAGGGACCGCUAGGCUAGCUUUUUAAAACAGAGGAAGGUUGCGGCAAUAACAGGUCUGUGAUGCCCUCAGAUGUUCCGGGCUGACACGUGCUACAAUGAUUAUUGCAGUGAGCAUCUCAACAUUGUGAUUUUAGAUUAUUAAAAUAAUUAUAUUAUGAAAAGUGUAUUUAUUUAUAUUUUGAUUUUUAUAUUAUUUAUAAUUUAAAAAUUUAAUCACAUAGCCUACUUCGGCAGUCAGUAGGUAAUCAAUUAGAAGUAAUGAUUUCCCCUUUUUUAUUUAAAUAUAAUAUAAAAUUUAUUUUUUAUUUGUGUUUAUUUAAAAUUGAUGCACACUUUUAUGUCUAUGUUUCUAUUUUUACAUGUUAGAAUAUUAAUACUAUUUAUUAAUAGUUUAAUUUUUAAUUUUGUGAUAGUUACUGACAUGUGCUCUCAUAUUUUAAAUGUUCAAUUCGUGGUGGGGACAGACCAUUGUUAAUUGUUGGUCUCGGUCUCAACUAGGAAUGCCUUGUACGGGUCUUUGGUUCAACAAACCACCCGGAAUAUGUCCCUGCCCUUUGUACACACCGCCCGUCGCUCUUACCGAUGGACUACUCUGUGAGUUUAAGGGACUGGUUUGAAUUAAUAUAAUUUUUUUAGAAAAUUUAUUUUUUAUUAUUAUAUUAUAUUAUAUUCAGGCUAUGGAAACUUAUACGAACAGUGUGGUCUAAAGGAAAGAGAAGUCGUAACAAGGCAUCGGUAGGUGAACCU